CCUACGGGUGGCUGCAGUGAGGAAUAUUGGUCAAUGGACGCAAGUCUGAACCAGCCAUGCCGCGUGCAGGAAGACGGCUCUAUGAGUUGUCAACUGCUUUUGUACGCGGGUAAACGCAGAUACGCGUAUCUGUCUGACAGUAUCGUACGACUACGGAUCGGCUACCUCCGUGCCAGCAGCCGCGGUAAUACGGAGGAUUCCAGCGUUAUCCAGAUUUAUUGGGUUUAAAGGGUGCGUAGGCGGUCGGAUAAGCUAGAGGUGAAAUCCCGAGGCUCAACUUCGGAAUUGACUCUGAUACUGUUCGGCUAGAGAGUAGUUGCGGUAGGCGGAAGGUAUGGUGUAGCGGUGAAAUGCUUAGAGAUCAUACAGAACACCGAUUGCGAAGGCAGCUUACCAAGCUACUUCUGACGUUGAGGCACGAAAGCGUGGGGAGCAAACAGGAGUAGAUACCCUUGUAGUC
rnacentral:rRNA from 1 species